GACGAACGCUGGUGGCGGGCUUAACACAUGCAAGUCGAACGGAAAGGCCCUGCUUUUGUGGGGUUCUCGAGUGGCGAACGGGUGAGUAACACGUGAGUAACCUGCCCUUGACUUUGGGAUAACUUCAGGAAACUGGGGCUACUACCGGAUAGGAGCUCCUGCUGCAUGGUGGGGGUUGGAAAGUUUCGGCGGUUGGGGAUGGACUCGCGGCUGAUCAGCUUGUUGGUGGGGUAGUGGCUUACCAAGGCUUUGACGGGUAGCCGGCCUGAGAGGGUGACUGGCCACAUUGGGACUGAGAUACGGCCCAGACUCCUACGGGAGGCAGCAGUGGGGAAGAUUGCACAAUGGGCGGAAGCCGGAGGCAGAAACGCCGCGUGCGGGAUGACGGCCUGCGGGUUGUAAACCGCUUUCGCCUGUGACGAAGCGUGAGUGACGGUAAUGGGUAAAGAAGCACCGGCUAACUACGUG
rnacentral:rRNA from 1 species